rnacentral:rRNA from 1 species
GAUGAACGCUGGCGGCGUGCCUAAUACAUGCAAGUCGAGCGAACAGACGAGGAGCUUGCUCCUCUGACGUUAGCGGCGGACGGGUGAGUAACACGUGGAUAACCUACCUAUAAGACUGGGAUAACUUCGGGAAACCGGAGCUAAUACCGGAUAAUAUAUUGAACCGCAUGGUUCAAUAGUUAAAGACGGGUUUGCUGUCCCUUUUAGAUGGAUCCGCGCCGCAUUAGCUAGUUGGUAAGGUAACGGCUUACCAAGGCGACGAUGCGUAGCCGACCUGAGAGGGUGAUCGGCCACACUGGAACUGAGACACGGUCCAGACUCCUACGGGAGGCAGCAGUAGGGAAUCUUCCGCAAUGGGCGAAAGCCUGACGGGGCAACGCCGCGUGAGUGAUGAAGGUCUUCGGAUCGUAAAACUCUGUUAUUAGGGAAGAACAAAUGUGUAAGUAACUAUGCACGUCUUGACGGUACCUAAUCAGAAAGCCACGGCUAACUACGUG